rnacentral:rRNA from 1 species
GACGGGGACCCGCACAAGCAGCGGAGCAUGUGGUUUAAUUCGAAGCAACGCGAAGAACCUUACCAGAUCUUGACAUCCAAUUGACCAUCUUUUAAUUCGAGAUUUUGCCUUCGGGUACAAUUGAGACAGGUGGUGCAUGGUUGUCGUCAGCUCGUGUCGUGAGAUGUUGGGUUAAGUCCCGCAACGAGCGCAACCCCUAUUGCUAGUUACCAUCAUUAAGUUGGGGACUCUAGCGAGACUGCCAGUGAUAAACUGGAGGAAGGUGGGGAUGACGUCAAAUCAUCAUGCCCCUUAUGACCUGGGCUACAAACGUGAUACAAUGGCUGGAACAAAGGGAUGCGAAGCAGUGAUGUGGAGCGAAACCCAUAAAAACAGUCUCAGUUCGGAUUGAAGUCUGCAACUCGACUUCAUGAAGUCGGAAUCGCUAGUAAUCGCGGAUCAGAACGCCGCGGUGAAUACGUUCUCGGGGUUU